ACGUAGGGACCAAGCGUUGUUCGGAUUUACUGGGCGUAAAGGGCGCGUAGGCGGCGCGGUAAGUCACUUGUGAAAUCUCUGAGCUUAACUCAGAACGGCCAAGUGAUACUGCAGUGCUAGAGUGUGGAAGGGGCAAUCGGAAUUCUUGGUGUAGCGGUGAAAUGCGUAGAUAUCAAGAGGAACACCUGAGGUGAAGACGGGUCUCUGGGCCUUACCUGACGCUGAGGAGCGAAAGCAUGGGUAGCCAACAGGA
rnacentral:rRNA from 1 species